UACGGGGGGGGCAAGCGUUGUUCGGAAUUACUGGGCGUAAAGAGCUCGUAGGCGGUUUGUCGCGUCUGCUGUGAAAACUGGAGGCUCAACCUCCAGCCUGCAGUGGGUACGGGCAGACUGGAGUACUGCAGGGGAGACUGGAAUUCCUGGUGUAGCGGUGGAAUGCGCAGAUAUCAGGAGGAACACCUAUAGCGGAGGCAGCUUGCUGGGACGAAACUGACGCUAAGGCUCGAAAGCGUGGGGAGCGAACAGG
rnacentral:rRNA from 1 species